rnacentral:misc_RNA from 1 species
GAAGUGCGAUAAGCAAUGCGAAUUGCAGAACCGUGAGUCAUCAGAUUUUUGAACGCAACUGGCGCCGGCUGGCUCCCCAGACGGCAUGCUUGUUUCAGUGUCUCUUUUCUCCCUCACCCAAAUCAUAAUGCAAGGGAUAACCUUCUCUUGUUAAGCAUGAAAGCACUAUGCGCUCUGCGAGCUACAGUCUUCGGAUGGUAGCGCUCAAUGCAGCGGUCACAUUGCUCACAAUGUGAACUCAUUGAGAGUAGAGGCAGUCAGUGACGGCGAGAGCUGUUGCUGGAGAGCUUAGAAUACCAAACUUCUAUUGUUAUCUGAAAUCAAGCAGGAGGACCCGCUGAACUUAA